UAAUAGCUUAGUCGGUAGAGCAUGUGACUCUUAAUCUCAGGGUGGUGGGUUGGGCAAAAAGAUCCCCACAUUUCAG